GUGCCAGCCGCUGCGGUAAUACGGAGGGUGCAAGCGUUAAUCGGAAUUACUGGGCGUAAAGCGCACGCAGGCGGUCUGUCAAGUCGGAUGUGAAAUCCCCGGGCUCAACCCGGGAACUGCAUUCGAAACUGGCAGGCUGGAGUCUCGUAGAGGGGGUAGAAUUCCAGGGUGUAGCGGUGAAAUGCGUAGAGAUCUGGAGGAAUACCGGUGGCGAAGGCGGCCCCCCUGGACGAAGACUGACGCUCAGGUGCGAAAGCGUGGGGAGCAAACAGGAUUAGAUACCCUGGUAGUCCACGCCGUAAACGAUGUCUAUUUGGAGGUUGUGCCCUUGAGGCGUGGCUUCCGGAGCUAACGCGUUAAAUAGACCGCCUGGGGAGUACGGCCGCAAGGUUAAAACUCAAAUGAAUUGACGGGGGCCCGCACAAGCGGUGGAGCAUGUGGUUUAAUUCGAUGCAACGCGAAGAACCUUACCUGGUCUUGACAUCCACAGAAGUUUUCAGAGAUGAGAAUGUGCCUUCGGGAACUGUAGAGACAGGUGC
rnacentral:rRNA from 1 species